CUGGGCUCAACCCCUCAGGGGAAGGAGUACACAGAGAGUGGGUGCUGAGGGCGGGGCCAACACUUUUGGGCUCCAGCCCCACAGCAGCAUCUAGGGGUGUGUUCAAGUUACUACUCUUUUAGCUUUGCCAUCCGCAGAUGGCUUAAAUGUUAAACAGCUCAGUCAAGAGUCAGUAUGACAGCCUUUUUGGGCUCCCGCACCCAGGGCAGCCAGCAUCCAGGAAGAAUCAGGUUACGUGAACAGUUUGAAGGGCGAUGGAAGUGAAGAAUUUUUUUAAGAGGUGGAAGUGGCUCUCAGCAGAAGGGGAGCUGGAAAAGGAAUAGUCAAGCUGGAGCUCAAGGCUUCUGUGUAAGAUUCUGAGGGCUCUGAAGCCACUGUUCUGUGAGGAAGCCCAUAGUAGCCUACAUGGAGGAGCCACACGGAGAAGCCCUGUGACUGCCUGACCAGUUCCCAGAUGCCGCUGACAUUCCAGCUCCAACUACCAUCUGACUGCAUCCUCACAAGGGGCCUCGACCCAGAUUCACCCAGCUAAGCCUCUCCUGAAUUGCUGACACACAGAAACCAUGAGAAAAAAAUAAAAUCAUUAUUGUUGUUUUAAGCCCACUAAUUUUGGACUGGCUUGGUAGGCAGCUGUAGAUAACCAGAGCCUUUGUCCACAGCCUUGUCCCAUCUGUGUCUCAGAAGACAGAAAAUGGUAACCUUCAUUCUUCCAUUCACUCAACAAAUAUUGAAGCAUUGUGCUUGGUGUUUGGGAUACAUCAGUGAACAAAGCACACAAAAUUCCCUGUGCACGCUGAACUUACAAAGAACAAUGAGUCAGUGACACAGUAGGUAAGAAGAUGGCAAGUGGAAGAAAAGUCAAACCAGGAAAGGGGAAAGGCAGUGGCCGUAGGGAUCUUGGAAU
rnacentral:lncRNA from 1 species